UUUGAAUUUGUUACUGCUUUUCGUUCAGCCUAUGUGAAUUCGAUCAAGUAAACGUUUUACCUUGUUUCGAUUCGCUUCUCGCAGUGUGAUUAUUAUGCAUAUAAUAAAAUUGCUUAAGCAUCAUAUAAAUUUUUGCAUUAGAAGAUUAAGGGCUUGAUCAACACAAACUAGUAUAUUUGUGCUUGCUUUACAGUUCGAAGUCUAUUAAAAAUGAUAUGAAGCGUCAUUUCUCAUAUUCAACUGGCUACCGGACUCCAUUGAAUUUGGUUUUAGCUAUAUUAAGAGCUUCUGUUUUUACGAGCUUAAUCUAAUUAUAAUAGACAACCACACUCCUGUCCUAAUUAUUUCUCAAUCUACGAAAAGAGUUUUCUGAACAGGUAAGUAUUGUUAAGAUAGUAUUAGAUAAUUAAGCUUUUUUGCUUACCCUUUAAUCUUCUACUUAUUUUACUGAUCCUUGGUUGAGUUAGUUGGAUAUUCGAGAGCUUAUGACUCCAGGAUAUUGCAGCAGAGUUGUACAUUUUUCUGUUGGAGGUUUCGUUAUGGAUUUGUCUAGAGGAAACUGAUAGGGGAUUGUGUUUAGAUCAAAUCAUUAAGUUUAAUGUCUACAUUAGGUGGCUGUUAGUGAAGAUGAAACUGACAAGCCUCCAAUUGGUCUGGGGCCUAACAAACCAGCUGAAGUAACUUUAAUAUUGGAAAAUUGAGCCUGUAAACAAUGUUGUGAGUGUUCUUCAAUGUAUAUAGGUGAAGUAGUCAAAGCUUUGAACAGAGAGAUAAGUUGCACGGUGCCGUCUGUCCAUUCUGGGUUUUAGUCGAAUAUAGCCAAGCGAAUAGAACGAAUCAUCUUGUUUUGAUUGAAUACAGACAUGGUGUCGUUUGGAGUUAAGCACACAUGCGUCCCAUUUUGAUGACACAACUGAAUAAGUAUUGUGCUUAGAGAGAAAAGAAGCUGAACAUUUAGAGCUGGAUCUCAAGCGGCAAACACCUAUAAGUGGAAGCCACUCACAUGUUAAAUGCAGCAUUGUUCAGGGGUAGAUUUAGAGUUGGCUGGAUGCCCAAUGGUAUUCUUAUACAUUCUGGUGUCAGUUGAGGAUAUUGCCAAUAUAGCAGAAAACUCCCAAAUACGGAGGCUUGCAACAUCUGUGGUGGAUCCAAAUCAGAAAUUGAAGAUUGAGACCUGGAAGCUUGAAUAUGUAUAUUGUUUUAUGGAGAAGUUCUUUGGAGGAAGACAGCUGUUCAAGUGUGUGGUUUAUUCCGAGAUAGCUGAAGUGAUGCAAUUUUCUAUGAUUGAUGGAAGUGGAAGUUCAACAAAUGAGGGAGGCUUAGCUAUUGGUGUAGGGGUGUGAUACCAUGUUUAAGUCAAGCUAAGCUGCUAUAAUACCACAUUUAAUGCAUCCAUCCUGAAGAGGAAAUUCUAGGAUGCAUUCGAAUCUGACGUCAAAGGCGUAGAUGGAGGUAGCGGACUUUUGGUUUUGUUACUACUUGUAGAUUUGGCAAUUGGAGGGGGUUGUGAAGAAGCUGAAGAAAGAUUUGAAGAAGGAGCCGGCUUAUUCGAGCUACUCUGAGGUUUCUUGUUGUUUGAUGGAUUUGAAGAUGUAGUGGGCUUAUUCGAGCUGCUCUGAGGUUUCUUCUUGUCCCCUUCACCUGAUGGAUUCGAAGAUGGAGUCUGGUUAUUCAAGUUGCUCUGAGGUUUCUUGCUGGUCCCUUCACUUGCCUUGUCCUCCAUCCGAUGGUGGCGAACUUUGGUAGACUUUAAGCUCAUUGGAACGAUACAGUGGCAAACGAAACCUACACACACCAACAAUUAGUAAGUUAUUAAAUUUCUCAUAUCAACAAGUUGCAGAACACCCCCUCAAUGACAGCAAACUCAUGUUGAAGAUUCCUAUCGUGUUAAAGGCUGCGAAAAACCUUCUACGCAGCCAGCCACUGAACUCGGUAGGAAUCUUCUGCAUAAAAAUCACUGUCAAGAACAAACAUUGAGAGUUCUAUGAAACUACACAGAAGCUUCCUGAUUUCAACAUGCCUAGAAAACAAGGUACCCUCUCCAUCCCAAUUUACAUAACACAAAACUAUUCAAAGUGUUUGAAUUUUGACCAAACAUUUUAAAAAUAUAUUUUGCGAAUAUUCAAACAUGUGAAAUAAUAAAUCUGACAUGAAAUCUUA